rnacentral:misc_RNA from 1 species
AAUACCUUUUUACACAAUUUAAUACUAAAUAAACAAAUACAUAAAACACAACCUAAAAAAAUCAUAAUAACCAAAACCUCAAAUUACAACAAAAUUAUUACUUAUAUCACUACCACAUAAAUUACCCAAACAAACAAAAAUAUUAAUUAAAAUUAAAUAUACCUAAAAUAAAUUAUAAACAAAAAUAAUAACUAUCACUUACAAUCGUAAAAUAA